GACGAACGCUGGCGGCGUGCUUAACACAUGCAAGUCGAGCGGUAAGGCCCUUUCGGGGGUACACGAGCGGCGAACGGGUGAGUAACACGUGGGUGACCUGCCCUCAGCUCUGGGAUAAGCCUGGGGAACCGGGUCUAAUACUGGAUAUGACUCCAUGACGCAUGUUGUGGGGUGGAAAGCCUUGUGCGGCUGAGGAUGGGCCCGCGGCCUAUCAGCUUGUUGGUGGGGUGANGGCCUACCAAGGCGACGACGGGUAGCCGGCCUGAGAGGGCGACCGGCCACACUGGGACUGAGACACGGCCCAGACUCC
rnacentral:rRNA from 1 species